UACGUAGGGGGCUAGCGUUGUCCGGGAAUCAUUGGGCGUAAAGCGCGUGUAGGCGGUCCGGUAAGUCCGCUGUGAAAGUCGGGGGCUCAACCCUCGAAUGCCGGUGGAUACUGUCGGGCUAGAGUGCGGAAGAGGCGAGUGGAAUUCCUGGUGUAGCGGUGAAAUGCGCAGAUAUCAGGAGGAAUACCAAUUGCGAAGGCAGCUCGCUGGGACGUUACUGACGCUGAGACGCGAAAGCGUGGGGAGCAAACAGG
rnacentral:rRNA from 1 species